AACCAGGAGUCAAAACAGUGUUGUUUUUCUAGUUCAAAGGGGCAGAGACCUGAGUCCAUCGCUCCUGUCUUCUCUGAACACACAAGGCACUCAGUAAACACUGAAUGAAUGAAUGAAACACAACGUCCUCAAGGAGAAGAUCCUGGCCAUGCUGGAGAGAAAGAAAACACAGCUCAUCUACAGCAUGGGAGAAGAUGUGCAUGAGGUGAACAGUAUUCUGUGUCCCUCUGAGAUGGGGCUGAUACCCUCUGCUUUCCCAAGGACCCUGGGAGGACCAAGUGAGUAGAAAAAACUUUAGGUCUUGACCCUGGUGGUGGUCUCUGGACACUGAAGCAUUUUAUUUUCUUGAAGUGGGACAAGUGGCCACUCCGUUCUGGUUACUACUGCCCUUUAAUACCACUGCCCUCCUGCCACCCCACAGGGGGCACCAGCCCUCCCUCCCCUCUGACAGGUGUGACAAGUUCACCUGUACACCUGCAUCCCCCAAACACGGGGCGGGGCUUCCUGUAGAGCCUGCAGGGCGGCCCCUGCCUGACUUCACAUUUUCCUUGUCCUCUGUCCUCACUCAAACUGGCCCUGGAUACGUGUUCCCGAUGAAGUCCCCGGCCUGGGAGCAUGUUCCAUGAGCUGCUGGCUAGAACGACUGUAACCCAUCCCUGGCUAACCCCAGCCACGGA